rnacentral:ncRNA from 2 species
GUUCAGCAUCAAGAGCGGCCCUCGUUUCGACGGGGGCCCGACAACCUGGAGACGGACCUCCAAGGUGUCCAAACGAUGCGGUCCAGGGAGCAGGUGCUCCACGGACAAACCAAGUGUCCGAG